rnacentral:rRNA from 1 species
UACGGGGGGGGCAAGCGUUGUUCGGAAUUACUGGGCGUAAAGGGCUCGUAGGCGGCCAACUAAGUCAAACGUGAAAUCCCUCGGCUUAACCGGAGAACUGCGCUUGAUACUGGAUGGCUUGAGAUUGGGAGAGGGAUGCGGAAUUCCAGGUGUAGCGGUGAAAUGCGCAGAUAUCAGGAGGAACACCGGUGGCGAAGGCGGCUUGCUGGGCCAGUUCUGACGCUGAGGAGCGAAAGCGUGGGGAGCGAACAGG